AACGAACGCUGGCGGCAGGCCUAACACAUGCAAGUCGAGCGCGCCCUUCGGGGUGAGCGGCGGACGGGUGAGUAACGCGUGGGAACGUGCCCUUUUCUACGGAAUAGCCUCGGGAAACUGAGAGUAAUACCGUAUACGCCCUUUGGGGGAAAGAUUUAUCGGAAAAGGAUCGGCCCGCGUUGGAUUAGGUAGUUGGUGGGGUAAUGGCCUACCAAGCCGACGAUCCAUAGCUGGUUUGAGAGGAUGAUCAGCCACACUGGGACUGAGACACGGCCCAGACUCCUACGGGAGGCAGCAGUGGGGAAUCUUAGACAAUGGGGGCAACCCUGAUCUAGCCAUGCCGCGGGAGUGAUGAAGGCCUUAGGGUUGUAAAGCUCUUUCAGCUGGGAAGAUAAUGACGGUACCAGCAGAAGAAGCCCCGGCGAACUCCGU
rnacentral:rRNA from 1 species